rnacentral:rRNA from 1 species
GACGAAGGAUGCAAGCGUUAUCCGGAUUCAUUGGGUUUAAAGGGAGCGUAGGUGGACUGAUAAGUCAGUGGUGAAAUCUUUGGGCUUAACCCAAAAAUUGCCAUUGAUACUGUUGGUCUUGAGUAUAGUUGCCGUUGGCGGAAUAUGACAUGUAGUGGUGAAAUACAUAGAGAUGUCAUAGAACACCGAUUGCGAAGGCAGCUGACGAAACUAUAACUGACACUGAGGCUCGAAAGUGUGGGGAUCAAACAGG